UCGCCUUCGACGGAAACUGAAGCACCUCCUCCUCACGCCACCGCCUCCUCCUCCUCCGCCAAUCUUCACAGAUCCACCGCCGCGAGAUCCAGAGGCUUCAUCGCUGAGAUGAACUCUGCUCCAUUGAUGCUCCGUCUCGCGUUCUAUAGCUCUGUAGAAUUAGUAUAUAUCAACUUUAGAACUCUGUGGUAGAUCGCACAAAUCUCAAAAUUUUAAGGAGCUUUGCACGCUGUUCAUCCAACAGGAAUUUCUGGAAGCACUGAUACUGGGAAGAAAAAGGUCCUGCUUUUGAAGGGGAAAGAGAAAAAAAUUCCUUAUGUAAGCCUUUCCUUAUAUCCGCUGCCAUCAUUCUACUGUGUUAGAUUUUGUCAUGAAUAAUGCAGUGAGAAAUAAAAUACACAUGCACCUAACAUGGUGUAAGAAUUUCAAGAAAAAGAAUUUGAAUGCCUUCUAAUUGUGCUUUGGCAAUUUUAUAAAGUGAGAUAAUAUAUGUCAAGAUUAAAAAAGAGAAACAAGCAUGUGGGUCUUUGAUACACUUUAAAUCUGUGGUUUAGGACCUAUAUAAUUUACAUGAAAUGCAAUCGCAAGUUGAAAUCUUGGAUCCAUAAGUCAUGCAUGUUAUGCAUGGUAACCUUAUGGCCCUUAUUGAAGCUGAAAAUCAGCAAGUAGUAGUGGCUGGCAGGAAGGAGAGCUGUGGAUAUCUGUGAGGAACAUGUCCUCAACUAGUUGUGUUAUGAAUUGUGAGA